ensembl:lncRNA
CUUAAAUAUUAAAUAUAGCUUAGAUAACACUGAAUGUCUGUGUCUUUGCUUUGACAUUUAAAACAGAUUCAGAGUUGAAUUAUUAAUGAAAUUCCAUUAUCCAUCUUAAAUAUUAAAUUAAUUAUUAAAUAUCAAUUGAAUAAUUUAAGCAAAAUCAUAAGCCCGCCAUUAAGGACUUUCUCAGGUACCGUUAUUGACCUUGCAGGAUAACCAUAAAUAAAUAAGACCAAUGACAAUUUUGUAGCAGUCCAAAUACUUUUAAUUAUAUCUACUGUAUGCGGUCACCCAAGUUACUGUUAUCUUGUGUUGUAAUGCUGUGUUUUACGUCACUUACAUAGACAUAUACUUUGAGACAAAAGAAUUAUCACUCACAAACAUGACAGCAUCACUAAUGAGACGGCAGGAUGGACUUUUAAUUAGAGAGAUCAUAAUGCCAUGUAAGAUGUCAUUUUUGUUUUUGUCAUGAAUCAUAUCAAAGAUGAGCAGGUAGAAGAAGCCCAGAUGACGUCUCUAGAGUGUGAAAAGUCUCAUAGCUGCUCAGAAGGAGCUUCUGUCCUAACCAAAACUCAAUGUCCAUCACUAGUCUGGUCUCCACAGAUACAACUCUAACCAUGGUGAAACUGAAUGUAAUUUAUCAUCAAGCACAGUUUCAGUUCACUUAAACUAUGUGCUUUCACAAGAAACAAUAGUAUUUUUUGAAUUAUUUAGGCUUGAGGAAAAAGGCAAACGAGUGUCUCUUUGAAUGAAACCAUGUGCCUUUUGGGACUGCGAUCAAACAAUCUGCAACACACACCAAGCACAGUUGUUGUGGCCUCACCACAGACAUCUCUCAGGUGAUACAAAGUAUCGUCAUAGAGGGGAAUGAUGAAAGGCUGUUUGGGUUACAACUCAAAAGUGCCCGAGCACUGAGGAUUCUGUGAGCGUCUGUGUUUGUCUCUAUUGCCUGUGUAUAUUUCAGCUCUUCUCUUGCAGAAUGAAGCUGGCCCCAUUUCAAAGACACUUUAAAAGCAACUAGAAUACAGCAUCCUUCCUCCUCUUCCCCCCACUCCACCCACACACACACACACACACAAACAACUCUUUCUAUUGCACACACACACCAAUGUGACUACAUCACAGUGUAAUCUAUUCUGGAUUCAUGUUUUUGGUUUCAUGUGUUGGGUUUUUUAAAAACUCUACCUCCCAAAUUAACUUCCUCUCAAGCUCUCUACAGACCAACUGCAAGUCAAAAUAUUGUCUCUCUAUGUUGCUGAAAAAUAUGUUAGUUUGCUUUGACAAUCAUAUAAAACCACUAGUUAUGUAAACCAAUCUGCAAAAAAAAAAAAAAAGUUUUGAAGGGUAUUCAUAGUACAAAGAGGUUCUACCAUUUGGCAUUAAUUGGACAAUAUAGAAUUUGUAGCCUCUCAGCAAACUGAAUUAAAUUGGCAGGAACAGAAAAACAUUUUCUUGGCUAAAUGAUCACAGAACUGGCAGCAAAGAUCAGAAGUAUCAGUAUCUCCUGAAUAAUGAAAAAUGACAUGCUGCUGAUUAUGUAAUCGACCCAAACUGUUCCAAAUAUAUCUUAAAAGUAUAGUUCACCCAAAAAUGAAAAUUUGCUGAAAAUGUACUCAUCCUCAGGCCAUUCAGGAUGCAGAUGGGUUUGUUUCUUCAUUGGAACAAAUUUGGAGAAAUGUAGCAUUACAUCACCUGCUCACCAGUGGAUCCUCUGCAGUGAAUGGGUGCCGUCAGAAUGAGAGUUCAAACAGCUGAUAAAAGAAUUACAAUAAUCCACAAGUAAUCCACAUGACUCCAGUCUAUCAGUUAACAUCUUGUGAAGCAAAAGGCUUUUUUGUAAGGAAUUAAUUCACCAUUAAGGUAUUUUAACUUUAACCAUUGCCUCCGGACAAAAUACCAGUCUAUAAUCCAUGAUAAUGCCUCCUCCAGUGAAAAAGUCCAUCUCUGUUGUCCUCUCACAUUAACAACCACCAACCUAUUUGUUUAGAAAUGUUCAGCUGUUUAGCUACAACAGACCUGCCUAGAAGCUUCUACAGAGUCCUUCUACUGAAGACUUUGAUUAGCUGAUUCAGUUGUGUCCUCCAGGAACAGGUCUGGACCCUCCUGCGCUAGAGAAAGCAACAUUUUGGAUAGGGGACUUGUGUUUUAGCUAGAAGCAGUGGUAAAAUAAAAUGGUCUUAAAGGGGUACUUUAAGACCACAAAAAUAAAAAUUCUAUCAUCAUUUACUUACCCUCAUGUUUUUCCAAGCCUGUAUGACUUUUGUGGAAACUAUUUGAGAAAAGUCUCAGUAUUUUUUCCAUCCAUGAAAUUUAAGUUCAAGUCAAAGUCACUAAAACAGUAACAACACUCAAAAUAUCUUCAUUUUAUUUUCCACAAAAGAUAAUCAUACAGGUUGGGAACAACAUUGGGGUGAGUGCAUUUUUGACAAUUUCAAUUUUUCUACUUUCACUAGUCAACUAAGCUGUUGACUGAUUUUAGAGGGUUUUUAGGAACUUUUCUAGCUAGUUAAGCUGAGAAAUAGACAAACUAGUUUGACCAUCUUAAAUUACUGUAAACCAGCUUAGACCAGCAAACCAUCUGAGGCUUGCCUAUGCUGUUUUCAGCAGCAUUAUAUGAAACAAAACUGUUUGGAAGUGAUAAGAAGUGCAUGAUUUUACACCUAUUAUUAACUAUGGCUUAUAAUAUCACAGUAUAUGCUUGGAAAAUAAAAUGAUUCAGUGGCUCUGUUUGUGUAUGUGCCCACUCACUUGUGUUUAUUGAGUUAUUGUGUUGAUAUAUGAUGAUGUCAUUUUACCUGUGUGCCUUUCACCCUUCAUCUAAACUUAGACAACCCUAUGCAUAUAAAUACAGCAUAUAUGUGUGCAACUAAUAUAAUAAAAUACAAUGAAUGAUCAAUUAAUAAUCAAAUACACCCCAUUCUAUGUAGCCAACAGCAUUUAUUAACAUCAUUCUCACUUCUGCUCUCAAGUGGAUGAAGUACAUAAUGUCUGCCACUGAGGCCCACCAAUGGCUUCACUUCCUUAGGCAACUAAGAAAACCUUGUGUGUUCACUGCAGUCCUGGCUAGCUUUUACAUGUACACUGUAGACUCCAUCUACAGGGGCAUUACAUUCUAGUACAGCAGCUGCUCUGCAGAGGGUGUUAAAACAGCUCAAAUGAUCAUGGGCAUACGGCUCUCAGCAAACCAGGACAUCUAUUCUAAACACUGUCUCAGGAAAGCUGAAUGCAUUAAGAAGGACUUCAUUCAGCCAGCACCAACACUUUUCUGCUUUCUGCCUUCUGGGAAGCAAGUCAGGUCCAUCAGCAGAUGCACAUCGAAAUACAAGGACAGCUUACACCCCAAUCCCAGCAGCACGCUGUUACAAUGGACACAUACACUAUGGACCCAUCACAUGUUCAUACUCCAAUAGGACUUAAUUACUGCCAGUCACUGUGCUCUGUCGCUUUAUACUUCUCCUCGUACUCUCUCUUACUAUACUGCUGCAAAUCAGUCUUGGCAGAACUCUCUAGAAAAAUAAGUGAUCAUCAUCAUAAUGGCAAAGCAGACAUAAAUUAUUGGGCCAAGCCAGUUCAAACACAUCACUGUAUUUUAGAAAUUAGCCCAACAACACAAGCCAUGACUGCCUAUAUUUCUAAAAAAAAAAAAAAAAAAAGCCAAAGUACUUGUAAGGUUUUUUAAUUGCAAUGUAAAACGUUCAUGUAAUUUAUUUCAUAUUGGCAAAGCUGAAUUUUCAGCAUCAUAACUCCAGUCUUCAGUGUCACAUGAUCCUUUAAAAAUUUUGUGCCCAAGAAACAUUUCAUAUUAUUAUACAUUUUGAAAACAUAUGUGCAACUUAAUAUUUUGUGGAUAUUGUGAAACAGUACAUCUGAUUUUGUAAGCCGCUUGAGAAAUCACAAUGGCAAAACAUGUUGAAACUAUGAGAAUUAAUUUAGAAAUCACAAUCUGAUUAAUGUUAAAUUCUGUUAGUGCAUUCCUUUGAAAAAUUUCUUUAUUAAAUGUAUUCAAUUAAAUUAAAACAGUUUUUGAAUUAUGCAUUGCAUUGUGUUUUGGGGG